GAUGAAGAACGUAGUGAAAUGCGAUACGUAAUGUGAAUUGCAGAAUUCAGUGAAUCAUCGAGUCUUUGAACGCACAUUGCGCCCCCUGGUAUUCCGGGGGGCAUGCCUGUCCGAGCGUCAUUGCUGCCCUCAAGCACGGCUUGUGUGUUGGGCCUCCGUCCUCCUCCCGGGGGACGGGCCCGAAAGGCAGCGGCGGCACCGCGUCCGGGCCUCGAGCGUAUGGGGCUUCGUCACCCGCUCUUGUAGGCCCGGCCGGCGCUUGCCGACACAUCAAUCUUUUUUCCAGGUUGACCUCGGAUCAGGUAGGGAUACCCGCUGAACUUAAGCAUAUCAAUAAGCGGAGGA
rnacentral:misc_RNA from 1 species